AUGCGGGGAAGGCUCCGGGGGGCCCAGGAGCCUUGCAUCCCACAGGGAUCAGGGAGUGCCCGCUUACCCAUCAGGUGGGGACGGCUGCAGAGCCCCAGCCCCAGCCCGAAGCUUCAGCCAGGGCCCAGGGGUGUCACAGGUGAAAGGGAUCUGCAGAGGGUGGGAGGGAGGUGGGUCACUGCCCAGUAUUGCAAAUGGGGACAACACUCGGGGAAAGAAUCGGGGGCAAAGAUAAACCUCAACCAUCGCCACCCUGGGGGUCUUUGGGGAGCCAGGAGAGGUCUCCCCCUCGCAGCAAUGGCCACGCGGAGCGGUUCACCUUCUCGUCUCCCCACGUGGAAAGCGAAACCCCGUGGAGAAGUCGCGCAGUUUCCCAUUCUUGAGAAUGAGGAAGGCUCGGGGGCCGUUUACUGGAAUCCCCGCAGCCCUCCCCGCGGCCUUUUCUUGUAAGCACUGACCGAAAUACAUUGUGAAACCCACACGGCUGCUACGCCGGGGGGCCGGGCCACCCAUCAUUGAGAAAACGCAAACCACGGCAAGGAGGAACCGGCGCUGGUGCAGCAGCCCCUCUGCAGAGGCUUUGCUGUCCUGUGCUCGCCCCGAAUCCCAGCCAGGUACCCGAACCCUGGAUCCCGGAUCCCAAAUCCUGGCUGGGUGGCACAGCACGAGGCUGUCGGGAAGGGGAGGCAGGAAGGUUCAAGGGCCUGGAGCCAGCAGAAAGGCGUCCAGCAGGCGCCAGCCGAAACGCACCCUGCACCCGAUCCUGUCCCGCAGCACGUUGGCACCCCUGGGAGGCUGCUUUGUGGGGCGGGGGCUCUUGCUCUAUAGGGACAGGCUCCAUAGGGGGGGUCUCUACAGGGUAAGCAUCCCCCUCCCAACAGGAACUGCUCUGUUGGGUAGGUUCUCCUGCAAGAUAAUUGAUGUAGGUGCUGCACUGCACCACAGGGGAUGGGGUUUCUUGCUCUAUAGGGCUGGUCUCCAGUGGACCGCAUCACUAGGGCGGUAUCCCUCGUGCUAUAGUGGCCGAGGUUGGGCUGUAUAGGAGCCGGGCUCCGUAGGGGCCGGCUCCCCACAGCAGGAGCUCUUGCCCUAUAGGUGUUGGGCUCUGCAGGUGUAUUCCCAGGAGCUGCUGGAGCGGAGCCAGGGGAGUCUGCGGCGCAUGAAGGGCUGCUCCCCGUGCCCUGCCCUAUAGGGGCUAUGAUCCUGCCCUGUAGGGGCUGCAGUCCUGCCUUAUAGGAGCUGUAAUCCGCAGGGGCUGCAGUCCACAGGGGCUCUGCUCAGCGCUGCUGCCUGCGCAUCCCCGUGGGGCCUUUUCGGGAGCAUCGCCCGCGCCGCGGCGCUGGGGCUGCGCGAGUCGGAGCCUCCGCAGCGCGGCCUCUCCCCGCUCGCAGCCUCUGCAGCCCGCGGGGGUUUUUGGCUACGCUCGCGGGCUGCCGCGCCGGCCGAGAGC
rnacentral:lncRNA from 1 species